rnacentral:rRNA from 1 species
UGCCUCAGUAACGGCGAGUGAAGCGGCAACAGCUCAAAUUUUAAAGCCGGCGUCCUCGACGCCCGCGUUGUAAUUUGGAGAGGCAUCUUCGGUUUGGGCGCCAGCCUAUGUUCCUUGGAACAGGACGUCACAGAGGGUGAGAAUCCCGUGCUUGGCUGGCUGUCCCUCUCCAUGUGAAGUGUCUUCGACGAGUCGAGUUGUUUGGGAAUGCAGCUCAAAAUGGGUGGUAAAUUUCAUCUAAAGCUAAAUAUUGGCGGGAGACCGAUAGCGCACAAGUAGAGUGAUCGAAAGAUGAAAAGCACUUUGAAAAUAGAGUUAAAAAGUACGUGAAAUUGUUGAAAGGGAAGCGCUUGAGACCAGACUCGGCCGGGGACGAUCAGCGGCCCUUCUGGGCCGUGCACUCGUCCUCGGUUCGGGCCAGCAUCGGUUGAGACGGCGGGAUAAAGGCCCGGGGAAUGUGGCUCCUCUCGGGGAGUGUUAUAGCCUCGGGCGCAAUGCCGCCAGCCUCGACCGAGGACCGCGCUCUUUUGCUAGGAUGCUGGCGUAAUGGUCUUCAGCGACCCGUCUUGAAACACGGACCAAGGAGUCUAACAUCUAUGCGAGUGUUUGGGUGUCAAACCCUUGCGCGUAAUGAAAGUGAACGGAGGUGGGAACCCCUCCUCUGGGGGGGCGCACCAUCGACCGAUCCUGAUGUCUUCGGAUGGAUUUGAGUAGGAGCAUAGCUGUUGGGACCCGAAAGAUGGUGAACUAUGCCUG